rnacentral:RNase_P_RNA from 1 species
GUUGCCGGAUGGGCAGUCGCUCCCGGGCGCCGUUUGGGGCUCGGGGGAGGAAAGUCCGGUCUCCACAGGGCAGCGUGCCGGCUAACGGCCGGGGUCCGUUCGCGGAUACGGAAAGUGCCACAGAAAAUAUACCGCCCUGGCAACAGGGUAAGGGUGAAAUGGUGCGGUAAGAGCGCACCGCGGCCGGAGUAAUCCGGCCGGCAGGGUAAACCCCACGCGGAGCAAGACCAAAUAGGGGAGGAGGGGCGGCCCGUCCCGCUCGACUUCCGGGUAGGUCGCUAGAGCCGUUCAGCAAUGGGCGGCCCAGACGAAUGACUGCUGCCCGCAAGGGUACAGAAACCGGCUUACAGUCCGGCAACCCGC